rnacentral:rRNA from 1 species
AACGAACGCUGGCGGCAGGCUUAACACAUGCAAGUCGAACGCCCCGCAAGGGGAGUGGCAGACGGGUGAGUAACGCGUGGGAACAUACCCAUCACUACGGAAUAACUCAGGGAAACUUGUGCUAAUACCGUAUACGACCGAGAGGUGAAAGAUUUAUCGGUGAUGGAUUGGCCCGCGUUGGAUUAGCUAGUUGGUGGGGUAAAGGCCUACCAAGGCGACGAUCCAUAGCUGGUCUGAGAGGAUGAUCAGCCACAUUGGGACUGAGACACGGCCCAAACUCCUACGGGAGGCAGCAGUGGGGAAUAUUGGACAAUGGGCGCAAGCCUGAUCCAGCCAUGCCGCGUGAGUGAUGAAGGCCUUAGGGUUGUAAAGCUCUUUCACCGGAGAAGAUAAUGACGGUAUCCGGAGAAGAAGCCCCGGCUAACUUCGUGCCAGCAGCCGCGGUAA